rnacentral:rRNA from 1 species
GAUGAACGCUGACAGAAUGCUUAACACAUGCAAGUCAACUGUGGCGGACGGGUGAGUAACGCGUAAAGAACUUGCCUCACAGAUAGGGACAACAUUUGGAAACGAAUGCUAAUACCUGAUACUGUGAGAGAGCUUUGCGUCCCAUUAGCUAGUUGGAGAGGUAACGGCUCACCAAGGCGAUGAUGGGUAGCCGGCCUGAGAGGGUGAUCGGCCACAAGGUGACUGAGAAACGGCCCUUAGUCCAUCGGGAGGCAGCCGGGGGGAAUAUUGGACAAUGGGCCAAAGUCUGAUGCAGCAAUUCGGGGUGCACGAUGAAGUUUUCGGAAUGUAAAGUGCUUUCAGUUGGGAAGCAGUACCAACAGAAGAAGUGACGGCUAAAUCCGUGCCAGCAGCCGCGGUAAUAC